AAAGUACUCCCUCCGUUCGGAAUUACUUGUCGCAAAAAUGGAUGUAUCUAGACUUAUUUUAGUUCUAGACACAUCCAUUUCCGAGACAAGUAAUUCCGAACGGAGGGAGUAUAAC
rnacentral:pre_miRNA from 1 species